AGUGAACGCUGGCGGUAGGCCUAACACAUGCAAGUCGAACGGCAGCACAGUAAGAGCUUGCUCUUACGGGUGGCGAGUGGCGGACGGGUGAGGAAUACAUCGGAAUCUACUUUUUCGUGGGGGAUAACGUAGGGAAACUUACGCUAAUACCGCAUACGACCUACGGGUGAAAGCAGGGGAUCUUCGGACCUUGCGCGAUUGAAUGAGCCGAUGUCGGAUUAGCUAGUUGGCGGGGUAAAGGCCCACCAAGGCGACGAUCCGUAGCUGGUCUGCGAGGAUGAUAAGCCACACUGGAACUGAGCCACGGUCCAGACUCCGACGGGAGGCAGCAGUGGGGAAUAUUGGACAAUGGGCGCAAGCCUGAUCCAACCAUACCGCGUGGGUGAAGAAGGCCUUCGGGUUGUAAAGCCCUUUUGUUGGGAAAGAAAAGCAGCAGGUUAAUACCCCGCUGUUCUGACGGUACCCAAAGAAUAAGCACCGGCUAACUUCGUG
rnacentral:rRNA from 1 species